CUUUGGUUAUGACGUUCAUUUUUAGGGCAACCAAAGGGAGUGAUGUUGAGCAACAAGAACAUGAUAUCCUGCCUCGCUGCAACUUUUAUACAUUUUGAGAAGAACGGCUACCCAGUAGAUUCAAGCUUUGUUCACAUAUCCUAUCUUCCGCUACCUCACAUGUACGAGAGACUUGUUAUGAUGAUUAUUUGCUGUGCUGGAGGUAGAGCUGGGUUCUUUCGUGGUGAUGUGAAACUUCUUUGGAUGACAUCCAGUUAUUGAGGGCCGACAUUCUUCGCUUCAGUUCCUCGUUUGUUAAACCGUCUUUACGAUAAGGUUAUAUCAAAUAUUGAAAGUAGCAGUGGCUUAAAAA